AUUGAACGCUGGCGGCAGGCUUAACACAUGCAAGUCGAGCGGGGUUUUCGGACCUAGCGGCGGACGGGUGAGUAAUGCGUAGGAAGCUGCCCGAUAGAGGGGGAUACCAGUUGGAAACGACUGUUAAUACCGCAUAAUGUCUACGGACCAAAGUGUAGGACCUUCGGGCCACAUGCUAUCGGAUGCGCCUACGUGGGAUUAGCUAGUUGGUGAGGUAAUGGCUCACCAAGGCGACGAUCUCUAGCUGGUUUGAGAGGAUGAUCAGCCACACUGGAACUGAGACACGGUCCAGACUCCUACGGGAGGCAGCAGUGGGGAAUAUUGGACAAUGGGCGCAAGCCUGAUCCAGCCAUGCCGCGUGUGUGAAGAAGGCCUUCGGGUUGUAAAGCACUUUCAGCGAGGAGGAAGGGUGGUGUGUUAAUAGCACAUCAUUUUGACGUUACUCGCAGAAGAAGCACCGGCUAACUCUGUGCCAGCAGCCGCGGUAACAC
rnacentral:rRNA from 1 species